ensembl:snRNA U2 U2 spliceosomal RNA
AUCGCUUCUCUGCCUUUUGGCUAAGAUCAAGUGUUCUUAACAGUUCUUAACAGUUCUCAAUCUGUUCUUAACAGUUUAAUAUCUGAUAUAUUUUCUAUCCGAGUCCAACAUAUUAAAUGGAUUUGGGGAGCAGGAAGACGGAACAGGAGCUUGCUUGUUCACUUCACGCAUCGACCUGGUAUUACAGUACCUCCAGGAACAGUGCACCCCCU